rfam:Arracacha latent virus E isolate Ancash RNA-dependent RNA polymerase, hypothetical protein, and aphid transmission protein genes, partial cds; and coat protein gene, complete cds
UAAACACAGCCAAUAAUCUUGUUGCAAUAGUUGGAGUGUUCAGCCAAGAUGCCCC